rnacentral:rRNA from 1 species
AUACGGAGGGUGCGAGCGUUAAUCGGAAUUACUGGGCGUAAAGGGUGCGUAGGCGGCUAGAUAAGUCGGAUGUGAAAGCCCCGGGCUUAACCUGGGAAUUGCAUUCGAUACUGUCAGGCUAGAGUAUGUCAGAGGUUGGCGGAAUUCCUGGUGUAGCGGUGAAAUGCGUAGAUAUCAGGAGGAACACCAGUGGCGAAGGCGGCUAACUGGGACAAUACUGACGCUGAGGCACGAAAGCGUGGGGAGCAAACAGGAUUAGAAACCCUAGUAGUCC